UGGCCAGUGGGAAUCACUGCUGCUGGCGAAAGCAUGGGGCUUCCUGGAGGAGGAGACCUGGUGACCCACAGGCUGUCUGAAAUGGUCUGAAAACGAGCAGAAGUUAGGCCGAUCAGAUAACACUUCACGUGUGCGUGGGCCUCAGCAGAAGCAGAUGAAGUCCUCAGAGCAAAGAGAGAUUCCACCCCCAUGCCAAACAUAACAACAACAACAACAACAACAACAAAAUGGCAGCGAAGAGCUCUACCCUUUAAGAUGGCAAUCUAGAGACCCUGCCCUGAUGUCUGUCUUGCUUGAGUGUCCUGCAGAGUUUGAACCUAAGACUGCAACACGGAGUCUUCUCCAAACCCCCAGAGUGCUCUACAGGCAGGAUGUGCCAGCCCCAACAACUGUGUAAGCCACUCCUUAGAAUAAAUACCUGUCACUGCCUCUGUCA
rnacentral:lncRNA from 1 species